rnacentral:rRNA from 1 species
UGGGGAAUAUUGCACAAUGGAGGGAACUCUGAUGCAGCGACGCCGCGUGAGUGAUGAAGGAAUUCGUUUCGUAAAACUCUGUUCUAUGGGAAGAAAAGGACUGUACCAUAGGAGAAAGCUCCGGCUAAAUACGUGCCAGCAGCCGCGGUAAUACGUAUGGAACGAGCGUUGUCCGGAAUUAUUGGGCGUAAAGGGUGCGCAGGCGGCUUUACAAGUUGGAUGUGAAAUAUUGUGGCUCAACCACAAACGUGCAUCCAAAACUGCAAAGCUUGAGUUAAGGAGAGGUAAGUGGAAUUCCUGGUGUAGCGGUGGAAUGCGUAGAUAUCAGGAGGAAUACCGGUGGCGAAGGCGACUUACUGGACUUAAACUGACGCUCAGGCACGAAAGCGUGGGAGCAAACAGG